rnacentral:sRNA from 2 species
ACUAAUUAGAACAACAGGGGUGGGAUCUCCUGCCCUCUCGAUUGUCGGGAAGCAUGGACAGACUAUACGUUGAGUGGUCGUUCCCCACUCAGCGCGAAAAAUGAGCUUCUCACCAAUCUUCGAGGGUAGCGCUGCUACCCUUUUUUUUCUGGAGU